UGGGAUCCAGACUUUGAUCCUGGCUCAGGACGAACGCUGGCGGCGUGCCUAACACAUGCAAGUCGAACGGAGCUCCGCCCUUCGGGACGGAACUUAGUGGCGAACGGGUGAGUAACGCGUGAAGAACCUGCCUUUCAGUGGGGGACAACAGUCGGAAACGACUGCUAAUACCGCAUGAUGUUCUUUGGGGGCAUCUCUAAGGAACCAAAGCUUAAUGUGCUGAAAGAUGGCUUCGCGUCUGAUUAGCUAGUUGGCGGGGUAACGGCCCACCAAGGCGACGAUCAGUAGCCGGUCUGAGAGGAUGAACGGCCACAUUGGGACUGAGAUACGGCCCAGACUCCUACGGGAGGCAGCAGUGGGGAAUAUUGGGCAAUGGGGGAAACCCUGACCCAGCAACGCCGCGUGAAGGAAGAAGGCCUUCGGGUCGUAAACUUCUUUUACCAGGGACGAAGGACGUGACGGUACCUGGAGAAAAAGCAACGGCUAACUACGUGCCAGCAGCCGCGGUAAUACGUAGGUUGCAAGCGUUGUCCGGAUUUACUGGGUGUAAAGGGCGUGUAGGCGGAGGCGCAAGUUGGGAGUGAAAUCUAUGGGCUCAACCCAUAAGCUGCUCUCAAAUCUGUGCCCCUUGAGUAUCGGAGAGGCAAGCGGAAUUCCUAGUGUAGCGGUGAAAUGUGUAGAUAUUAGGAGGAACACCAGUGGCGAAGGCGGCUUGCUGGACGACAACUGACGCUGAGGCGCGAAAGCGUGGGGAGCAAACAGGAUUAGAUACCCUGGUAGUCCACGCUGUAAACGAUGAAUACUAGGUGUGGGAGGACUGACCCCUUCCGUGCCGCAGUUAACACAAUAAGUAUUCCACCUGGGGAGUACGACCGCAAGGUUGCAACUCAAAGGAAUUGACGGA
rnacentral:rRNA from 1 species